UGACGUCAAAUCAGCACGGCCCUUAUGUCCAGGGCUACACACGUGUUACAAUGGCCAGUACAAAGGGCAGCUACCGGGUGACCGGAUGCUAAUCUCUAAAGCUGGUCUCAGUUCGGAUCGAAGUCUGCAACCCGACUUCGUGAAGCUGGAUUCGCUAGUAAUCGCGGAUCAGCAUGUCGCGGUGAAUACGUUCCCGGGUCCUU
rnacentral:rRNA from 1 species